ACCACAGAUCAUCACAUAAUACACAGACACGCCCACCUGCAUCUCUUCAUAUCUCUGUUGUAACGUCACACAGACUGACAGUGACUCUGGUCCCCAAGUUCAUUUUGCUCAGAACACAAUAAUGAUCACAGCUGGUCUGAUCAAACUCUCUGCAGCUCUGCUCUGUAUUACAGGUCUAACUGAUGGGAGUGAUGUCACCCAGACCCCCAUACUGUGGGGGGACGAGGGUCAGUCUGCCACAAUGAACUGCAGUCACACUAAGGACAUCUCAUAUCAACAGAUGUACUGGUACAGACAGCUACCAGGGGAGAGGAUGAAGCAAAUAGUUUUCACAACUACAUCUCCCCCACAUAAAUAUGAAAGUGGCUUCAGUGAGGACAAAUUUCCUGCAACGAAGAACGAUGCUCAGACUGGAUCUUUGACAGUGGAGAAGCUGCUGCCUGAGGACAGUGGAGUGUAUUUUUGUGCUGUGAGUCAACACAGUGAUACAGGUGACUUAGACAGCUGCACAAAUACCCAUGUGAAGCAGACUUCAGAGGAGAAAACAUUUCAACAACUGUUCAACAACACAGUUAUUACUGAAACUGCAUUACAACACCUACAACUUAGGAUUGUUUGA